GAUGAAGAACGCAGCGAAAUGCGAUAAGUAAUGUGAAUUGCAGAAUUCAGUGAAUCAUCGAAUCUUUGAACGCACCUUGCGCCCUUUGGCCAUUCCGAAGGGCAUGCCUGUUUGAGUAUCAUGAACACCUCAACUCUUCAUGGUUUUCCGUGAUGAGCUUGGACUUUGGGGGUCUUGCUGGCCUAUGGUCAGCUCCUCUAAAAUAAAUCAGCUUGCCAGUGUUUGGUGGGUAUCACAGGUGUGAUAACUAUCUACGCUUGUGGUUUUCCACCAGGUAACCUUCAGCAGUGGAGGUUCGCUGGAGCUCACAGAUGUGUCUCUCCUCAGUGAGGACAGCUCUUUGAAUGUUUGAUCUCAAAUCAGGUAGGACUACCCGCUGAACUUAAGCAUAUCAAUAAGCGGAGGA
rnacentral:misc_RNA from 1 species